CUGAGUGUUUAUGUGAUUCACACAGCCGGGACUGGGGAAGGCUUGACCCCUUCACAGACCUCCCCAACACAACGGAAAUGACUUCUGUCUAUGGUGACAGAGGGGACAGCCGGUCUGCAGGGGGCAGCGGGGGGAGGAUACAUUACAGCAACACCUGGUCUAAAUCUGUCUUUCAUCUUGGAUGAUGAACU